UACGGGGGGGGCAAGCGUUGUUCGGAAUUAUUGGGCGUAAAGGGCGCGUAGGCGGCCGGCCAAGUCGGGUGUGAAAUCCCUCGGCUCAACCGAGGAACUGCACUCGAUACUGGCUGGCUCGAGUCCGGGAGGGGAUGGUGGAAUUCCCAGUGUAGCGGUGAAAUGCGUAGAUAUUGGGAAGAACACCGGUGGCGAAGGCGACCAUCUGGACCGGAACUGACGCUGAGGCGCGAAAGCCAGGGGAGCGAAUGGG
rnacentral:rRNA from 1 species